AGGCAAUUGUCGCGCUUCAUAGUAAAGUCAAUUGCUUGACUCAAUGUUUGAGGAUCAGGUAAGUUGAGCAUUAAUUUUUUUACCUCAUAUUGUAAUCCAUUGAGAAAUUGGCUAAUAAGUGCAGCAUCAUCUCACUUGAUAUCAGUUGCAAGUUAUCAAAAUUAUGAAGCAUACAAUAUUACUGAUCGAUUGCCUUGUCGUAAAAUACGGAUCUUAUAAAUUGCAACAUGAAUUGCAUCAUGUUUUCUGUACAUGAAUCAAAACUCUGCCAAAAAUAUCUCUAGAUUAUCAAAUAUUAGA
rnacentral:lncRNA from 1 species